UAGAAAGUUACUUCGGUACAUCGGUGACAGGUGGUGCAUGGUUGUCGUCAGCUCGUGUCGUGAGAUGUUGGGUUAAGUCCCGCAACGAGCGCAACCCCUAUUGUUAGUUGCCAUCAUUCAGUUGGGCACUCUAGCGAGACUGCCGGUAAUAAACCGGAGGAAGGUGGGAUGACGUCGAAAUCAUCAUGCCCCUUAUGACCUGGGCUACACACGUGCUACAAUGGUUGGUACAACGAGUUGCGAGUCGGUGACGGCGAGCUAAUCUCUUAAAGCCAAUCUCAGUUCGGAUUGUAGGCUGCAACUCGCCUACAUGAAGUCGGAAUCGCUAGUAAUCGCGGAUCAGCACGCCGCGGUCGAAUACGUUCCCGGGCCUU
rnacentral:rRNA from 1 species